UCAGGAAAGUCAUUUCAGAGCAACUUUGUGGUAGAAAUCCAGACCCUACUGAGGAGACUUCGACCUGCAUAUUCCUAAAUAAGACGACCUUCGUAGGAGCAGCCACUCAGCAGGAUUGUGACGCAUUAUUUCUGACACUGUAAGAACUUCGUUGGAGGCUAAGAUUCAUCACAAGGCAUAAUAGGCGUGGGGAAUAAUUGUUCGCUGGUACAUGCCGUGGGGAAGCCGGAGUUGCGCUGACUUGCAUGCGCUUUGGAUCAAAAUACAGUACCUCCUGAACAAAUAUAAU